rnacentral:tRNA from 1 species
GCCGUAGGCGAACGGCCAAAAGCUGAAGCGUUCUGCUCUUGUACGGGAACACCACGCCCCGCGUCUUGUCUGCUUUCCUAAAGCCAAGGUCGCAAGUUCGAUUCUUGCUGGGGGCGCCA